rnacentral:lncRNA from 1 species
GGAGGAGCGGGACCAGAUUGUUCCAGAGGCUGUUAAAGUGGCUCUGGGACCAAACCCAGACCUUGGUCCUGGCACUCCAGGUUAUCUGCAGCGAGCAGAGGCUGAGGUGCCGACCCGCCAACCAGACUGGGACCCCAGCACCUAUGCAGGAUGUGCCCCUGGAGGACCCUGAGGAGACAAUCUUCACGGAUGGGAACAGCUUCUUCAAACAAGGAGUCAGCCCUCCAGGUAAUCCAACAGAAACUGUGGAAUCUGGUUUGGGAGGCCAGGCCAGGCCAGCCCCUCAACCUGAUGUCAGCCACCAUAAAUUUCAGCCUGGAGAUCUAGUGCUGAUAAAGAGACAUUCAUCUAAGGCUCUGGAGCCACAUUGGGAGGGACCUUUCCAGGUGAUUUUAAUGCCAUCUGCCAUAAAGGUCACAGAAAAAACACCAUGGCUACAUCACUGCCACAUCAAAGCGGCUCCUGAGGACACCCUGGAGGACAAAUGGGGGAUCAUCAGUCAAUGAGGCAACAAAAAGUUAAGACUGGGACAUGUUGGAAAUACAUCCCCUUCUUGUUAAUAUUUUCUAAAACAUUGACAAUAUUACCCCCAAAACAAUUGGACCAUACUGGUAAUGUUUGUAUUCAACUGACACAAUCACUUAAUUUGUCUGAGUCCUGUUUAAAUGUAGAUAUAAAUUUACGUUAUGUAUUAGGGAGCUGUCUCGUCCCAGUGUGCACUCCCUUGAGUCUGAUACAACCUUAUACUCUGUUUAAAGACAUCCCAGGAAAAAAUCUUACGUAUAAAGAUAGUUACAACUGGGGGACCCCCUCUUAUUCUAAACCAAAAAAUGCUAUUAAGUUAUAUAUGCCUCAGAUGAUUAUGUUAAACAAUACACAAUGUGCUAUAUAUAAAAAUUGUACUACAAAAUGUCUAAGAUUAAAAAAGUUAAAAAAUGACCUGUUAUGAGAAACAAAAAAUCAUAUACAGUGAUGGUCAUGUGCCUUCACCAUCAGGAUGGUUUUAUACAUGUGAAGGAGUAACGUUUAAUUAUAUCCCUGCCUACUUGUCUGAGACUUGGUGCUGCCUAAGUCACUUGGCCAUAAUAUUGCCAGAUCGAACUGAUUUGAUAGUGCCAAAAGAAUUAAACGUUGGUUACCCUAUACUGAACCAGGAUGUGAUGAUGAUGUAGGUCUCUUGACAGAUGCUCAAGUGAUACCUAUGAUAAUAUCUGUGCUUGCUCAGCCAGCCAUAAAAAUUCAUAAAGAAAAUACAUAAUAAAAAAUUAGGAUGGGAUUUGUUUCAAUGGUUAAUUCAAUGGUUGCCUAAUAUACAAUGGUUAAAACAGCUUUUUCUUGU